AUCCUUACCUGGUAGGGGAGAUACUGUGAUCAGGAUGUUGGUUUUCCCAGGGUGAGGCUUACCCAUUGCACUCCUGAUGUGUUGACCUCGACUAUUUCCACAAAUGUGGGAAACUCAACUGCAUAAUUGUGGUAGUGGGGAACUGUGUUUACACUUUUCCCUA
ensembl:snRNA U1 U1 spliceosomal RNA